GGUGGGUAGAGCAGAAGACAACGGCUACCAUUAUGAGGAUGGGGAGGAUUGGGAUGGAAAAUGGCGAAGGGCUGCAAGGAGUCCCAAACCCCUCUUCUCUCCCGUGGCCCGCAUCCUUCCCCCAUUUGGCGGUCAACCUCGGGCCUGCCCUAGCCCUCAUCUGCUCAGCGAGAAGUGGCCUUGGAACAGGGGCCGCUGGGUUGGAAGGGAAGCCAGGUUCGGCUUCCCCGCUCCUCUCCUCACUCACUUAGUCCUUCUGCCACCCCUCCCUGGCCCUUUCGUCCCCGGCGACCCCGGAGUGUUUCUGUGCAAAACCUCACGUACACCGUGGCAUCAAAGUCCACGAAGGCUGGGUUCGUGGCACUCGGGUUAACAGGAGCAGCACAACGAUUAAAAUCUAUAUUCCUAUCCUCUUGGGCAGCUGGUGCAGGGGCAGGGUGGACGGGUGUCUUGGUGGGUAGAGGGGACCCCAGGAAACAGUCCCUCUGACAGCCUCAGACUAAACAGGACCCCAGGCGACCAGCUGUCCUUGGCUGUUCCCACUGAGGAGGCUCCAUCUCCAAACCACCCCCACCGAGUCACCUCGCUCCCAGCACAGCUGCAUCUCUGCCUUCUCUUCAGCGUGGAGACUCCGCUUCCGGGAACAAGAGCAAGGAUCAUGCCAUCUGACAAGGUGCCAAAGCCCUCACUUCAAUCCUUAGAUCAACUCUAUGAGGUAAGGGGUGUCCCAUUUUGCAGAUGAGAAAGCUAAGGCUCGAAGAGAUUACAUAACUUGUCCAAGGUCCCAAGCUAGUAAGUGACUAAGCCAAGUCUGACUGCAGACUUUCUGACCACAGCACUGCAUUGCCUCGAAGGACCUAGCACACAGAGGAGGAAAGGACAUCAGCUGUGACGUACCAGUGUACGGGGUUCGAAAUAUCACCCAGAAAGAUUGGUGCCAUAGCAGCUGGAGGGCCUCUUGCAUCCUUUAUCCCUAACACCCUCCAAAGAGGAAAUAUUUGGCAGAUGACUCAGAGGGUCAGUGGAGUAAGGGGCUGGAGGCCGGGAAGUAUCGGAAGACUGGACACCUGAGGUGACACCUCGAGUUGUAAGUUUUCUAGGCAGUUCAGAGAGAAGUCUGUCUCCCCCCCCAGCCUCCCUCCACACUCCACAUUGCUGGAGUGAGGACCUCCAGGCUUGCCGCUGGUAGCCUGGCCCACCUGGGCCCUAGCUGGGCCUUCCAGACUCCUCCUCUGGGGUCGACCUUGCAGGGGGAGGUGUGUGGCUGCUCCCUCAAGGCGAGGGACUCCUAGGGCCCUACUCACUGUCUCCAGAAGGUGGCCCACCCUGCCCUCCUUAUCUGGAGGACGAGAAGGGGAUUUGGGGACACUCUCCCACUCACCGGAAAGGGAGUCCUGGUCCUAACCUCAGGUUAGCAGCUCACAUCCUUAAAAGCAAACAUUUGUAAGGGAAUGGUAAUGUACAAAUCCCUUUCCCAGGCUCCCCUAUCUAGAUCCAGUGUCCCCAUCUAUGGGAGAAGGGGACUUGAUUGGAGCCACCCUUCCAGAUGGGUCUCUGUUAACCUCAGACCUCCACAUCCAACACCUGUGGGAAGCAGGCUCAGCCCUGGUGACAAACGACCACCCCACCUUCAUUCUUCUCACCCACAUCCCCCUCAGGCUGCUCCCUCCCCGAUUCCCAUGGCCACCACCUGGGUUCACACCCUCAUCCUCCUGCCACAUGACGACCUCCCACUACGCUACCCACUGCAGCCCUCUCCUCCAGCCCCCGCCCCCUUCGCGUCGCUGUUAGGCCCCUGCGCUGGGGAAAUCUUUCUCAUCUCCGAAUCCAACUGUCCUUGCAGAGCUUAGCA